rnacentral:lncRNA from 1 species
UAAUGGCUGGUAAAGGUGAAGGUCCGACGAUUGGAAUCGAUGUAGGUACUAUCUAUUUGUGUUGACCGGAACGGAGAUGGUGGAAGAAAGUGAGGGAGUUGACGGAGUCCGUAGACGGCGGUCGGUGGCGACGGUGGUUACGUCGGCUGAGGCGGUGGUUACGAUGGUGGUUAAAAGGCAGUGUACGGUGGUUUCGGGUAUGUGCGGUGGCGCGUGAGAGUAACGUCACCGCCGUUGAUGGAAUAUGAGUCGUUGGUUAAGAGUACCGAGACGGUUAUUGCAGCGAGUAGGAGGGUGUGGAAGAUGUUUUAGCUCCGGUGACGGUGUAACAGCGGGGGUGAACGACGGCGGACGGAUGUAGUGGUGGGUUGAACGGCAGCGAAUGACCGGUGAACGGAGACGGAGAGUGUGGAGAGGAGACGGCGGAUGUUUGCUGGUGGGUUUGGGUGUACGGUGGAGCUCGGUUGAAGAUGUUGAUGAUAACAGAUUAAAAUUGUGAAAAAAAAAUUUGAUUAAUCUGUUAUUUAAAUUGUGAAAAAAAAAUUUGAUAACAGGUAUGUUUGUCGGGUUAAUUUAAAGUUCAUUGGUUUGAUGAUUAUCUGUUUAAAUCGCUGUUCAUGAUGGAUACCAUUGUGUUGAAUUUGUUUGAAGGUCUUGGGUUAUUCUCAUCCGUAAAUGUUGUUAAUAUUCGAGUCAAUUUUGGGUAA